CUUAACUUUUAAUUUAUCUUUAAAGAGUAAAUGUAUUAGAGGACUUACGUUUGUAUUCUACACUGAUAUGUAGUAUGCGAAAUAUAUGUAGUAUACACUAGGGGGUGGCAGGUAACCUAGUGGUUAGAGUGGAGGGGCGGCAGGUAACCUAGUGGUUAGAGUGGAGGGGAGGCAGGUAACCUAGUGGUUAGAGUGGAGGGGAGGCAGGUAGCCUAGUGGUUAGAGUGGAGGGGAGGCAGGUAGCCUAGUGGUUAGAGUGGAGGGGUGGCAGGUAACCUAGUGGUUAGAGUGGAGGGGAGGCAGGUAGCCUAGUGGUUAGAGUGGAGGGGAGGCAGGUAACCUAGUGGUUAGAGUGGAGGGGUGGCAGGUAGCCUAGUGGUUAGAGUGGAGGGGAGGCAGGUAGCCUAGUGGUUAGAGUGGAGGGGAGGCAGGUAGCCUAGUGGUUAGAGUGGAGGGGCGGCAGGUAGCCUAGUGGUUAGAGUGGAGGGGCGGCAGGUAGCCUAGUGGUUAGAGUGGAGGGGUGGCAGGUAGUCUAGUGGUUAGAGUGGAGGGGAGGCAGGUAGCCUAGUGGUUAGAGUGGAGGGGAGGCAGGUAGCCUAGUGGUUAGAGUGUAGGGGCGGCAGGUAGCCUAGUGGUUAGAGUGGAGGGGUGGCAGGUAGUCUAGUG
rnacentral:lncRNA from 1 species